rnacentral:rRNA from 1 species
AACGAACGCUGGCGGCAGGCCUAACACAUGCAAGUCGAACGCCGUAGCAAUACGGAGUGGCAGACGGGUGAGUAACACGUGGGAACGUACCCUUCGGUUCGGAAUAACUCAGGGAAACUUGAGCUAAUACCGGAUACGUCCGAGAGGAGAAAGAUUUAUCGCCGAGGGAUCGGCCCGCGUCUGAUUAGCUUGUUGGUGAGGUAACGGCUCACCAAGGCGACGAUCAGUAGCUGGUCUGAGAGGACGACCAGCCACACUGGAACUGAGACACGGUCCAGACUCCUACGGGAGGCAGCAGUGGGGAAUUUUGGACAAUGGGCGCAAGCCUGAUCCAGCCAUUCCGCGUGAGUGAAGAAGGCCUC